GCUAAACCAACACCUAAAUGGCUGAGAUCUUGGGACAGAUGUGCUGGUGGACAAGACAGUUGUUCUAGACUCGCUUUCCCAGGCUAUAAUUUCUAGGUCCAAAUGGAUUGACAUAAUACGGUGUGAGAAGUGAGAUCCAGAGUGACUUCCAUCCUCCUCCAAUGCCUUCAGAGAUUUGACUAAGGUACCUCCAAGAAUCCAUUGCACUCUAUCAUCUCCCGAAUGGUCCUGGAUUGUUGGGGGUGGAAACAUUUCUAUGUUACAGAGCCCCAGCUUCAGCAGUAAGUAAAAUACUCUUGGAAACGAUCUGCUCCACUUAGAGAAUCAUUCCCCUCAGAGCUCCACAGUGACCAGGAAACUCAUUUCACAGUUUCCUGGUUUAUUUAAAAUCUUGUUUUUAGCUUGAUGUAAAAUAAACUU